rnacentral:rRNA from 1 species
GACGAACCGUGCGAACGUUGUUCGGAAUCACUGGGCUUAAAGGGCGCGUAGGCGGCCGAGCGGGUCGUGGGUGAAAUCCCCCAGCUUAACUGGGGAAGUGCUUACGAUACCACUGCGGCUGGAGGAAGGCAGGGGCACUUGGAACCGUCGGUGGAGCGGUGAAAUGCGCUGAUAUCGACAGGAACGCCGGUGGCGAAAGCGGAGUGCUGGUCCUUUUCUGACGCUGAGGCGCGAAAGCCAGGGGAGCAAACGGG